rnacentral:rRNA from 1 species
GACGAACGCUGGCGGCGUGCCUAAUACAUGCAAGUCGAGCGAACAGAUAAGGAGCUUGCUCCUUUGAAGUUAGCGGCGGACGGGUGAGUAACACGUGGGCAACCUGCCCUGUAGAUUGGGAUAACUCCGGGAAACCGGGGCUAAUACCGAAUAAUACUUUUUAACUCAUGUUAGAAAGUUGAAAGAUGGUUCUGCUAUCACUACAGGAUGGGCCCGCGGCGCAUUAGCUAGUUGGUGAGGUAACGGCUCACCAAGGCGACGAUGCGUAGCCGACCUGAGAGGGUGAUCGGCCACACUGGGACUGAGACACGGCCCAGACUCCUACGGGAGGCAGCAGUAGGGAAUCUUCCACAAUGGGCGAAAGCCUGAUGGAGCAACGCCGCGUGAGUGAAGAAGGAUUUCGGUUCGUAAAACUCUGUUGUAAGGGAAGAACAAGUACAGUAGUAACUGGCUGUACCUUGACGGUACCUUAUUAGAAAGCCACGGCUAACUACGUGCCAGCCGCCGCCGUAAAAC